UGGAGAUCAAUUUUUGGACAAUCCGUAUUGAGAGCUCGGCCUUCUUAGAUCGGCCUUGGGCUUCAUCUUCGCAUUAGGCUUCACUUCAGACUUGAUCUUUUUGGCUUUUUAUUUGAUAGCUCGAUCUCGGUUUGACUAGACUAGUCUUCUAAUGAUCUCGGCCCUCUGGUGAUAUUUGACCUUUUGAGACUGAUUUUCUGAUGGCCUAGAUCUUGGGCUGUCUUUACCUCAGCUUGGGUGCUCAAAGACCUAUUGUCCUGCAAAAAAGAAAUAGAAUAAUGGAUGGGGGCUUGAGAGGCUUUUACCAUGAG
rnacentral:lncRNA from 1 species